UGAUUGUUUUAUUUUUUAAGUUGUAAUUUAUUUAAUACUUUCGAUUUUGGAAAAUUGAUUUAAAAAAAAAAAAGUAUAGAAAUAAUUGAAAAUCAUCAACCCUACUCGGCCCCUUUCGCACCAUCUGAUUUCCCUCCCUCCAAAUUCGAUGUUUCCAUUUCCCCUGACCAAAGCAUCUGUCUGAGACAAACAGGGAGGUAGAAGAAGAAGAAGAAGAGCAGCAAUGGAAGGAGUAUCCUACCAGCGUUUCCCAAAAAUCAAGAUCCGGGAAGUCAAGGACGACUACGCCAAGUUCGAGCUCCGUGAGACCGAUGCCAGCAUGGCCAACGCUCUCCGCCGUGUCAUGAUCGCCGAAGUUCCCACCGUUGCCAUUGACCUUGUCGAAAUCGAGGUUAACUCCUCUGUUCUCAAUGACGAGUUCAUCGCCCACCGACUCGGACUCAUUCCUCUCACCAGUGAGCGAGCCAUGGCCAUGCGAUUCUCUCGCGACUGUGACGCAUGCGACGGUGACGGCCAGUGCGAGUUUUGUUCCGUCGAGUUCCAUUUGCGCGCCAAAUGCAUGACCGACGAAACCCUUGAUGUUACUAGCAAGGACCUCAUCAGCUCCGACCAUACUGUUGUCCCUGUUGACUUCUCCGAUUCCUCUGGCUACGAUUCCGCCGAUAAGAAGGGAAUUAUAAUUGUGAAGCUGCGGCGAGGGCAAGAACUGAGGCUGAGAGCUAUUGCCAGAAAGGGGAUUGGGAAGGACCACGCCAAAUGGUCACCGGCGGCUACUGUUACUUUUAUGUACGAGCCUGAGAUUCAUAUCAAUGAAGAUUUGAUGGAAUCUUUGACGCUUGAGGAGAAAACAAGUUGGGUUGAGAGCAGUCCCACAAAAGUUUUCGACAUUGAUGCUAGUUCCCAACAGGUUGUUGUGGCUGAUGCUGAGGCAUACACUUAUGAUGAUGAAGUGCUCAAGAAAGCAGAAGCUAUGGGGAAGCCAGGGCUUGUGGAGAUCUAUGCCAAAGAAGACAGUUUUAUAUUCACAGUUGAAUCUACUGGUGCAAUCAAAGCUUCUCAGUUGGUGCUCAAUGCAAUAGAUGUUCUUAAACAAAAGCUUGAUGCAGUGCGGCUAUCAGAGGAUACGGUAGAAGCUGAUGAUCAAUUUGGUGAACUCGGUGCUCAUAUGCGAGGAGGAUGAUCAUUUUGGACCAAACCCACAAGCUGUCAAGAUGUCCUUGGUGUGCCAUUUGGAAAUGUUUCUGGGCAGGCUGUCAUGGAAUAUGAUGAUUUUCCCUUAGUAGCAGGAUUCUCCUAUAUAGUGUGAGUUCCACAGGUUGGAACAGCAAAAUUUAAUGUUCCAAUUGAAAGCUUGUAUUCUUUUCUUUUCUCUUGUACUAGGUCCACAGCAGUUACAUAAUAACAUCUGAGAAUUUGAAAUUAGGGUUUGUUAUUCUUUUUUAGUGGAAAAAAGAAGAGAGAAAGGUCGGGGUUGGACUACAGGGGAAUUGGUUCUUUUCCCAUCCUUACUUGGAAGACAUCAUGUGCUUAUUUGGGACAAACAGUAUUCUUUCUUCCAGAUGGAAAGAAUCUUACCUUGAGAGUCUUCAAACUAUUAUCCAACAAGGCAGCCUUACCAAUUAGUACGGAGGUCACAAAUUGGUCCUGAGGAUCCAUGGAUUCAAUAUCCAGAACACUUAAUUGUUGGAUUAUCUGAAUGAAAAGGAGGGAAUGAACUGUAUUGAAAGUUGUAACAUAAAAUUUUCAAAUUGGGUUCACAGGCCUUGAUUGUGAAAUGCGUCAUGCGUGACUCUGGAUUGUAGCAAAAAAAACCCCAGAUCAGCAUGUUUGUAAUGCAGGAAAAUGCCACUAGGAAACUAAUUACCUGCUGCUGUGGUGUAAAAAUGAGGGAAAUGUUAGUCUGUUUCCUGAUUUUAUUUCCAUUUAUACAAGGAGUGCGCUUCCCAGGAAA